AAUAGAUACCCUGGUAGUCCACGCCGUAAACGAUGUCGACUUGGAGGUUGUUCCCUUGAGGAGUGGCUUCCGGAGCUAACGCGUUAAGUCGACCGCCUGGGGAGUACGGCCGCAAGGUUAAAACUCAAAUGAAUUGACGGGGGCCCGCACAAGCGGUGGAGCAUGUGGUUUAAUUCGAUGCAACGCGAAGAACCUUACCUACUCUUGACAUCCAGAGAACUUAGCAGAGAUGCUUUGGUGCCUUCGGGAACUCUGAGACAGGUGCUGCAUGGCUGUCGUCAGCUCGUGUUGUGAAAUGUUGGGUUAAGUCCCGCAACGAGCGCAACCCUUAUCCUUUGUUGCCAGCGGUUCGGCCGGGAACUCAAAGGAGACUGCCAGUGAUAAACUGGAGGAAGUGGGGAUGACGUCAAGUCAUCAUGGCCCUUACGAGUAGGGCUACACACGUGCUACAAUGGCGUAAUCAAAGNGAAGCGACCUCACGAGAGCAAGCGGACCUCAUAAAGUACGUCGUAGUCCGGAUUGGAGUCUGC
rnacentral:rRNA from 1 species